GCCUACUAAGAAAUGGGGGCAAGUUGGAAUGGCCGCAUGUAACCAUAACAACGGUUAUAGCUAACGUUUAGCCUACUGACUGUGGACAGUACGGUACGGGACCGGGACGGUAAGGCCGUGACGUACAAAUUGUUCUGUGCUGUGUCCUGAUUGGCUGAAGAGAAAUAGCAACGUCGUUGCGUUCUAAAACUGGACCUGGCGAUUUGACAUGUUCAACCUCUGGCGACUCCUUGCGACUCCUUUCAACGGCAUCACCCGCUUCAACGACAAGCAACGACAAUCAACCGCUUUGUACUCCAAGCUGUCCACUGUUGGACCCGUUGGGGGCCAGGCCAGCUAUUCAGAGGCCGGGACGAACAUCCUCCGGUACCGAGUCUAGCAGAGGCUGGCUAUACAAUGGCUCCCACUUUCUUACUUCCAUGUAUUCCCAGCAAACAGGCCGUGUUGUGGCGUACUACACGGUGAGAAGGGUUGAUGUUAUUCGUAAGUAUAACCUGCAACCACAGUUGUGCCUCCUGACUGUGUCCUCUCAGUCCAACAGCGCAUUAUACAUUUUAUUUUAGCAAUAAGCAUAGCAAUUUUAUGUAAUUCAUCAUUAACGAAACACAUAGAAGAUAUGUGGGUUAUUUUCACUGCGGGUGAUCGUUAAUGUUCCUUAUUUAUUAGAAGAAAUAAACACGCUUCUGACAGCUAACACACAAACCUGCACUAAUGGACAUUGAACCUGAACAUUUAACUGGGUCUUCUUUUAUGGACACAUAUCUGGGCAGCAUAUCUAAAUAGGACUUAUUAAGGUGGGUCAAGCCGAUUAGGCGGGCCGGCUAGGUGGUCGGCAUGAAGCUGGACCCUCUGGUGACAGCGGCAGAGAGGAGAACAUCGAACAAACUGCUGGCUAAUCUGGACAAUGUCAGCCAUCCUCUGCACACUGUUGUCAGCAACCAGAGACGCUUGUUCAGCAACAGGAUGCUCCUCGGCAAGAGCAACACCGACCGACUGAAAAGCUCGGCACCACACUCGGAGGAGCACAGAGGUCGGGGAGGAGCACCAGGCCUGACCCACAACAUAACAUAACACUGCAUAUCAACAACUGUCUGUUUGAUACACUGUUUUCUUACACUGUUUUUAUGCACUGUAUAAGCACUCCCUCGUGUAAAUAUUGAAUUGUACGGUAUUCUUCUAUAUCAUUUCCCUGCAUAUAAAUGUUUUGCAUUUGGCAUUUUGGACUUUUGCACAUUUAUACUUGUUUUUAACUCUUAUUCUAUUUGUUACAUGGUGUUUCCUGCUGCCCGAAGUGCAAUUUCAUGAGAGAACCUUACAGAGGGAUUAAUAUAGUUCCUAUCUAUCUAUCCAUCAAUCAAAAUGCACAGGCGGUCAAUUUAAGCCAUAACUUCA